rnacentral:rRNA from 1 species
GACGAACGCUGGCGGCGUGCCUAAUACAUGCAAGUCGGACGCAGUUGCGAACGGGUGAGUCACGCGUAGGUAACUACCUAUUAGAGGGGGCUAACUAUUUGAAACGAUCGCUAAUACCGCAUACUUGUAGAUGGACCUGCGUUGUUUUAGCUAGUAGGUAGGGUAAUGGCCUACCUAGGCAAAGAUACAUAGCCGACCUGGAGUGGUGAUCGGCCAAAACGGGAAUGAGGAACGGGCCAGAACCCCACGGGAGGGAGGAGUAGGGAAACUUCGGCAAUGGGGGGAAAGCUGAACAAGCAACGGCGCGGGAGGGAAGAAGGGUUUCGGAUCGUAAAGAUUUGUUGGUAAGGAAGCGGUACUUAACCAGAAAGGGACGGCUAACUACGUGCCAGCAGCCGCGGUAAUUC